GAUGAACGCUGGCGGCGUGCUUAACACAUGCAAGUCGAACGAAGCACCUUAUUUGAUUUCCUUCGGGACUGAUUAUUUUGUGGCUGAGUGGCGGACGGGUGAGUAACGCGUGGGUAACCUGCCUUGUACAGGGGGAUAACAGUUUGAAACGGGUGCUAAUACCGCAUAAGGGCCCAGCAUCGCAUGAUGCAGUGUGAAAAACUCCGGUGGUAUAAGAUGGACCCGCGUUGGAUUAGCUAGUUGGUGAGGUAACGGCCCACCAAGGCGACGAUCCAUAGCCGACCUGAUAGGGUGACCGGCCACAUUGGGACUGAGACACGGCCCAAACUCCUACGGGAGGCAGCAGUGGGGAAUAUUGCACAAUGGGCGAAAGCCUGAUGCAGCGACGCCGCGUGAGCGAAGAAGUAUUUCGGUAUGUAAAGCUCUAUCAGCAGGGAAGAUAAUGACGUUACCUGACUAAGAAGCACCGGCUAAAUACGUG
rnacentral:rRNA from 1 species